rnacentral:rRNA from 1 species
GAUGAACGCUGGCGGCGUGCCUAAUACAUGCAAGUCGAGCGAACAGACGCGGAGCUUGCUCCUUCGACGUUAGCGGCGGACGGGUGAGUAACACGUAGGUAACCUACCUAUCAGACUGGGAUAACUUCGGGAAACCGGAGCUAAUACCGGAUAAUAUUCCGAACCGCAUGGUUCGAUAGUGAAAGAUGGCUUUGCUAUCACUUCUAGCUGGUCCUGCGCCGGAUUAGCUGGUUGGUAAGGUCCCGGCUUACCAAGGCAACGAUACGUAGCCGACCUGAGAGGGUGAGCAGCCACACUGGAACUGAGACACGGUCCAGACUCCUACGGGAGCGAGCAGUACGGAAUCUGGCGCAAUGGGCGAAAGCCUGACGGAGCAACGCCGAGGGAGUGAGGAGGAUCUUCGGAUCGUAAAACUCUGUUAUUAGGGAAGAACAAGCGUGUAAGUAACUGUGCACGUCUUGACGGUACCUAAUCAGAAAGCCACGGCUAACUACGUG